CCUACGGGUGGCAGCAGUGAGGAAUAUUGGUCAAUGGGCGCGAGCCUGAACCAGCCAAGUCGCGUGAGGGAGGACGGCCCUACGGGUUGUAAACCUCUUUUGCCGGGGAGUAACGGGCGCCACGUGUGGCGUCACUGAGAGUACCCGGAGAAAAAGCAUCGGCUAACCCCGUGCCAGCAGCCGCGGUAAUACGGAGGAUGAGAGCGUUAUCCGGAUUUUUUGGUUUUAAGGGGUGCGUAGGCGGAUCGUUAAGUCAGUGGACAAAUGGAGGGGCUCAACCCCUUCCCGCCAUUGAAACUGGCGUGCUUGAGUGGAAGAGAAGUAUGCGGAAUGCGUGGUGUAGCGGUGAAAUGCAUAGAUAUCACGCAGAACCCCGAUUGCGAAGGCAGCAUGCCGGCUUCCGACUGACGCUGAAGCACGAAAGCGUGGGGAUCGAACAGGAUUAGAUACCCCAGUAGUC
rnacentral:rRNA from 1 species